rnacentral:rRNA from 1 species
AGAAUCAACGCUGGCGGCGUGCCUCAGACAUGCAAGUCGAACGCGAAAGUUCCCUUCGGGGAGCGAGUAGAGUGGCGCACGGGUGAGUAACACGUAGGUAAUCUACCUUUGGGUGGGGAAUAACAGCCGGAAACGGCUGCUAAUACCGCAUAAUGCAGCGGCUCGACAUCGAGACAGUUGUUAAAGCGGGGGAUCGCAAGACCUCGCGCCUAAAGAGGAGCCUGCGGCGGAUUAGCUAGUUGGUGGGUAAUGGCUCACCAAGGCAUCGAUCCGUA